AUGCUGCGUGGCCACUGCUUCCCUGGCCCCUGGCACCAAGCCUGGCACGGGGGUGUGGGGUGCCAGGGGGGAACUACCCCGUUGAAGCAAAGGGCUGGGGCUUGGGUCCCCCGUUGCUGUGUCCCUGCCCAGGUCCUCCCUCCGCCGGGGCAGUUGUGGCCACGUGGCCCCGGCUUUCCAGGCUCGGCCCCUCCUUCCCUCUGUUCCUCCCUCCUCCCUCCCCCCUCCGUGGACCGGAGCCACCGCCGAGCUCGGCUCCUGCCAGGGCGGGCCUCGGCACCACCCGCUGCCAGAGAGGCUGGGGUGCAGAGCCAGCCAGCUCUCUUUGGUGGGCGCCUGCGUCGUGGGCCGGGGAACCCCUUGAUCCCCGUUCACUGCUCUGCCGGCUGGAAGCCUGUCUGCUGGCCUGCCCCACUGAGGGUGGCCCGGGACAAGGGAAGAGGAUGGUGGAGGCAAAUCCGGCAGUUGUGGACCAUCUGGGAUUGUGUAUAUGCGCGCGGGUGCCUGUGUUUUAAGGUGGGUGGCUGGUCUGUAUGGUGUAUCUCGUUGGCAUGUGUGGUGGGUCUCUUUCGGGAGUCUGUGCGUCUCGGCGGGAGUGGGGGGUGGUCUCUACUCUGUGUGGAGAGGCAGCUGCGGGGCUGCCGAUUAUCCUGGCCCUUCCAUUCUGGUUCCUCCGGGCCAGGCCCUUCUUCACGGCCGCUUCUCCCACUCGGAGGUCGGCCACGGCUGCUGGGGCCUAUAUUCCGGAGGCGGGAACUAAGGCUCAGGGUGGGAUGUCCUUUCCUGCUCCGAGGCUCCUGUACGGCUGCUGUCACCAAGAUGCGGUGGGGCGGCUUCAUGUACUUCAGUGUCUAGGGCUCCUCUGUGUGUGUGUGUGUGUGGUGUGUGUGUGUGUGUGUGUGUGUGUAGCGGGGAGUUGUUUGGGGGGGGGGGUGCUCCAAACGCUCUUUCCUGCCUGUGACCCCCUCCCUCCUUCCUGCCCUCCCUCAGGGGAAGAAUGAAUGAAGUCGAAUCGGAUUUUCCUGGUCCCUGGGGGCUCAUCCACACUUUCAGGCUUGUUGUGGCCUCUGUCCCCACCCUGGGCACCUCUGGGGGUGCCCUUUGUGUCUGUGUCCUGUUGUGCCUGGUGGGGGGGUGCGGGGCACCGGGCCUGGGGCUGCCGGAGGAGCCGCCUGGCCUCCUUGGGGCUCUGGGCACCUGCCCGGCCCGGUUGGGCACAGGAAAUACUGUGUCUUCAUUCAGCCCCGCUCUGAGCUGUGUGCCACCCUGUGUUGGGCAGGGCUGGGGACCCAGAGGGGCUGAGAUGGCCCCAGGCCCUGCCCUGUCGGAGAGCUCCUGGUGCGGCAGGAGAGGCAGACCCGUCGUCGGACAGUGUAGCCUGUUCUGCCCCCCAUCCGGGCCCUGGAGAAAGCAAGGCAACAGAGACAGACUGGCACCCCCGUGCUGCCCAGGAGACGGCUGUGCCCGGCCUCCUCUUUCAUUUAUUUGUUCCCAGCAGCAGGUUCACCCGUAGCGAGGACCCGCUUGGUGGCGGGUCCUGUUCUAAAUGCUUUUCACGCGUCGCCUUAUUCCGUCAUGCAGACAGUCCCAGGAGACAGGGACUGUCGUCAUCCCUGGUUUGCGGAUGAGACCCAGAGAGGUUGAAUCACUUGCACAGGGGCGCACAGCUUGGGAGUGGUGGAGCCGGUGACAGAGCUUGGGUGGCCCACUCCUAACCACCCACCACCUCCCGAGUCCUUGCCUAGCACUGUCUGCACAAAGGCCGGGUUGGGGGGGGCAGGGCUGCUUCUCGCUCCCCAGACUUCCCCAGGCCAGGGGGACCCCUGGAUCUGUGUCCUCUUAUGGGAUUUCACCCGUUAUGGGGACCAAUGGGUUUCCUGCGGCAUCUGUCACUGUAUGACCUGCCUCUUGCCUGUCGCCAAAAUAGGCUGUCACUUCUUCACGUUUGGAGCCUCGGCAGCACAGCGGGGCUGGGGUGGGCCUCCCUGGGGUGUGCAGGGCCCCGGGGUUGGAGUGCAGUGGGCGCCCCUUGUGGUGUUUGGAACACGCACCAGCUUCUUCACAAAUAGCCGGAUUUGGUCUCCAAAGCCCGGACCAACUCCUGCUGGAGCCUCAAGGUCGGACUUGCAGGUGGUGUGAGGCAGGGAUCAGGGACUGAUGUCCACUCUCCGCCUCCACCAGCCUCGCCUGUCCCCCCUCAGGGUCUGGACGCAUCACUUGGGCAAUGGCAUCCCUCCUUUGCUCCACAAAUACCUGAUGAGUGCCUUCUGCUCCGGAUGCCAAGCAUACAGCAAGAAUGAGACAGAGACCCCCGCUCUCAGGGAGAGGGAGCCUCUACUGGGGGGAGAGGAGGAGGAGGGGACCAACAGUCCGCAUGUACACGAGGUCAGGUACUAAUAAAUGCCACAGAGGAGGAUAAAGCA
rnacentral:lncRNA from 1 species